UCUACCAAUCUGUCCACUCAGACUCCAUGUUAAAGAGCUAAGCAGGGUUGAGCCUGGUCAGUACCUGGAUGGGAGACCUCCUGGGAAAACUAGGUUGCUGUUGGAA
ensembl:rRNA 5S_rRNA 5S ribosomal RNA